CAGUCGCCACGGUAAUACGUAGGGUGCAAGCGUUAAUCGGAAUUACUGGGCGUAAAGCGUGCGCAGGCGGUUAUAUAAGACAGAUGUGAAAUCCCCGGGCUCAACCUGGGAACUGCAUUUGUGACUGUAUAGCUAGAGUACGGCAGAGGGGGAUGGAAUUCCGCGUGUAGCAGUGAAAUGCGUAGAUAUGCGGAGGAACACCGAUGGCGAAGGCAAUCCCCUGGGCCUGUACUGACGCUCAUGCACGAAAGCGUGGGGAGCAAACAGGAUUAGAUACCCCUGUAGUCCCUGUCUCUUAUAU
rnacentral:rRNA from 1 species